rnacentral:rRNA from 1 species
GGACGAACGCUGGCGGCGCGCCUAACACAUGCAAGUCGAGCGAGAAGCGGGACUUCGGUCCCGUGGAGAGCGGCGAACGGGUGCGUAACACGUGAGCAACCUGCCCCGAAGACCGGGACAACCGAUGGAAACGUCGGCUAAUACCGGAUGCCCUCACCGGAUCGCAUGGUCUGGUGAGGAAAUGGAUUCCGCUUCGGGAUGGGCUCGCGGUCUAUCAGCUUGUUGGUGGGGUAACGGCCCACCAAGGCGACGACGGAUAGCUGGUCUGAGAGGACGAUCAGCCACACUGGGACUGAGACACGGCCCAGACUCCUACGGGAGGCAGCAGUGGGGAAUCUUGCGCAAUGGGGGAAACCCUGACGCAGCGACGCCGCGUGCGGGAUGAAGGCCUUCGGGUUGUAAACCGCUUUCAGCAGGGACGAAAUUGACGGUACCUGCAGAAGAAGGCCCGGCCAACUACGUGCCAGCAGCCGCGGUAAUACGUAGGGGCCUAGCGUUGUCCGGAUUUAUUGGGCGUAAAGAGCUCGUAGGCGGUUCGGCAAGUCGGAUGUGAAAUCUCCACGCUUAACGUGGAGGGGCCAUUCGAAACUGCCGUGACUCGAGUCCGGUAGGGGAGUGUGGAAUUCCUGGUGUAGCGGUGAAAUGCGCAGAUAUCAGGAGGAACACCAGUAGCGAAGGCGGCACUCUGGGCCGGUACUGACGCUGAGGAGCGAAAGCGUGGGGAGCGAACAGGAUUAGAUACCCUGGUAGUCCACGCCGUAAACGUUGGGCACUAGGUGUGGGACUCUAUCGACGGGUUCCGUGCCGUAGCUAACGCAUUAAGUGCCCCGCCUGGGGAGUACGGCCGCAAGGCUAAAACUC